ensembl:lncRNA
GCUCACUGAACUCCAUCAGAGUGAGAUCGUAGUCAGAAGAGGAUGGACGUCUUGGACUGUUCCUCACCAAUCUGUAUUUGACCUGUGUUUUAGUGCGUUCAUCUAAGUUCGAUAGGACAACAUGGCUGCUCAUUAUGGGAUUGCAAUGGUAGAGAGUCUCUGGCAGCAUGGACACAUGGAACACCAGCCAGCUUCACAGAUACAGCAGACGUCAUCGCCGAGCAGCGCUGGAGGACCUGUGACAAGGAUGGAGGGAGAGGAGAGGAAGAAGGAUGGCAGCGGCUAACUGCCACUCUUAAGAGCAUACAGGACAGAUGAGAGAGAGGACUGUGACAUGAGUUGGUAAAGAAUGAAACAGGCUUGGGUUGUUGGCCCACAGAAUAAUAAUAUACUACUCCUCUUCCCCAUUCAAACUUAACAGCCUCCCUGUGGCACAUGGGAAAUAGGAGACUUGAACAACCACAUGCCCUGUUUGCCCUUUUCAUCAGUGACUCUCAUAGGGCCAUCUUUCUAGAGCAAUUGUCAUUGUCAAGG